AGCAGCCGCGGUAAUUCCAGCUCCAAUAGCGUAUAUUAAAGUUGUUGCAGUUAAAAAGCUCGUAGUUGAAUUUUAGGCCUGACCGGACGGUCCGUCUCUGGCGAGUACUGUUCUGCUGUCGGGUCUAUCCUUCUGGUGAGCCGGUAUGCCCUUUAUUGGGUGUGUCGGGGAACCAGGACCAUUACCUUGAAAAAAUUAGAGUGUUUAAAGCGGGCUUUUGCUUGAAUAGAUUAGCAUGGAAUAAUAGAAUAGGACGUUGGUUCUAUUUUGUUGGUCUAGGACCACCGUAAUGAUUAAUAGGGAUAGUUGGGGGCAUUAGUAUUCAAUUGUCAGAGGUGAAAUUCUUGGAUUUAUUGAAGACUAACUACUGCGAAAGCAUUUGCCAAGGAUGUUUUCAUUAAUCAAGAACGAAAGUUAGGGGAUCGAAGACGAUCAGAUACCGUCGUAGUCUUAACCAUAAACUAUGCCGACUAGGAAUCGGGCGACGUUAUUUCAUGACUCGCUCGGCGCCUUAUGGGAA
rnacentral:rRNA from 1 species